rnacentral:sRNA from 1 species
UUGGUGGUUUCACAACUCUCAGAAUUCACUGAAUUGCACAGAUUAAGUGGAUGCAGUUUGUGUGCAAAGGAUUCUUUGAUAAAGCUGAAUAAAAAUCGCUAAUGAAGACCUAAAGUGAAAAGAGGCAGGGGGGAGAAUCUAAUACAUAGAAACCAUUCUGCACGUGAAAGAAGAGUCAGAAGCAGGAAAAUCAGGAGCCACUGUGUUUUGGCCUUGUGUUCAAUGCUAAGUUUCAAAACAAAUGUAGUAUUCCUUGCAACCACGAGAAGUUGUGCUCUGCCUGGCCCAGACAAUCCACACGCAGGAGGGGGCCCUGCCCAGACCCUCCAUCUCGGCUGAGCCAGGCACCACGAUCCCCCCGGGAAGCCGUGUGACUUUCGUGUGCCGGGGCCCGGCUGGGGUUCAAACAUUCCGCCUGGAGAGGGAGAGUAGAUCCAAGUACAAUGAUACUAAUGACGUGUCUCAAGCUAGUUCAUCUGAGUCAGAGGCCAGAUUCCGCAUUGACUCAGUAAGUGAAGACAGUGCUGGGUGUUAUCGCUGCCUCUAUUUUAAGUCCUC